ACACACACACACAAACGCGCAUGCAUGCAUACAUACAUAAGUGCACCAUUCCCUACUGUAUUCUAAAAAAUUUUCACUCAUGUAUAAUUUAUUAAGUAUUACUAUUAUAUCUUAGUUUUUUUUCACUUGUUUUUAUUUUUGAAAAAUGUGUUUAUUAUGUAAUCAUGAAGAAAAAGGAGGGUUUGAAAAUUCAGCUAUAGGAACAUGGUCAAAAGGGGUAAGUCUUUUAAUCUGCUCUACUAUAUUUUUAUUACGUUUUUUUAACGAAAAAGAAAUUAACAUAUUUCAACAAACACAACCGAGUAAUGAAUAUUCAAUGAUAUAUUAUUUAAGUUUGUAUAAUUUGAUGGGUGCAUCAUCACUUUUAGUAUUUUCUUUAAUAGGACAUUUUUUUUAUAAGCCUUUGUUAAGACCAAUAUAUUUAAGUUCUUUUAUAAUUUCCUUAUUUUUAAUUUCUACUGGCAUUUAUACUACAUGUAUUAGCAAAAAUAUAUCUUUAAAAAUAAUUGGUAUAAUGGAUGCGUUAAAACUCCACCCAGAACACAUGCUUUUAAAAAAAAUACAUUAUCACUCUGAUAAUACUAAACUUAAAGAAUUACGUAAAAAAAUAUUAGAAGCAAAUGUACCUCAGGAUAGUAAAACUAAAAAUGGUAAUACCAAUGAUGAAAUAAAGUUUAAUGCGACUGAAAUUUUAAAAACAAUUGAAGAUAAAAAUAAAUUCCUUGAAACGCAAAAAAAAGCUUUAUUUCAAAAUUUAUCUAAUGAAGAAUUAAAAAAAAUAUUUGCAACUAUUGAGACUAAAUCUAGUAAUCUUGAAAACGCUAUAGUACAAGAACCUUUAAUUGCUGCACUUGACAAAAUGAAAAAUGUUAUAUAUAAUUUUGAUGUAUAUAAUAAAUUUUAUAAGUUUAUAGAAAAUAAUGCUCCUUAUAUAACCAACUCUGAAAAAAUAAAAUCAUUUGCAGAAAAUUUUAUAAGUAAUUAUAAAUUUUAUCGGAGGUCUUUUUUUGAUAUGUCAAAUUAUGAGUUAGUAAAUUAUGGUUCUGAUGUUGUGAAAAUAUACACAGAUUCAAUAGAUAAAAUAAAAAAAACAACAGAAAAAAAUCCAAAUGCUAAACUGCAUGAAUAUAUAGAUGAUUUAGAAAGAAGAAAUUUACUUAUUUUAUGCUCAGCAUUGAUAUUCAUGUCCUUUAUUUAUAUUCAUAAAGGAACUGCACUAACUGAAAAAAGUUCCAUAUCGAUAACAUUAUUGUAAACAAUUUUUUUUUUUUUUUUUUUUUUUUUAAAGAAAUGUGUGGAGAGGGUGAAACUUAUGCGUUUGUAUAUGUGUUUACACAUGUUUAUAUUUAGAUAAAUAAUUAAGUUGGAAUAAAUAUGCUAUAUAUGCAUUUGCCUAUUUCUUC
rnacentral:lncRNA from 1 species